rnacentral:rRNA from 1 species
CCUACGGGUGGCAGCAGUGAGGAAUAUUGGUCAAUGGGCGCGAGCCUGAACCAGCCAAGUAGCGUGAAGGAUGACUGCCCUACGGGUUGUAAACUUCUUUUAUAAAGGAAUAAAGUGAGGCACGUGUGCCUGUUUGUAUGUAUUUUAUGAAUAAGGAUCGGCCAACUCCGUGCCAGCAGCCGCGGUAAUACGGAGGAUCCGAGCGUUAUCCGGAGUUAUUGGGUGUAAAGGGAGUGUAGAAGGGUUGGUAAGCCAGGUGUGAAAGUUGGCGGCUCAACCGUAAAAUUGCAAUUGAUACUGGGAGUCUUGAGUACAGUAGGGGUAGGCGGAAUUCGUGGUGUAGCGGUGAAAUGCGUAGAUAUCAGGAAGAACACCGAUUGCGAAGGCAGCAUACUAAACUGCCACUGACAUUGAGGCCCGAAAGUGUGGGUAGCAAACAGGAUUAGAUACCCUGGUAGUC